CAGUCGAGGGGUAACAGGUAGCUUGCUAUGCUGACGACCGGCGCACGGGUGAGUAACGCGUAUACAAUCUACCUUGUACUGAGGGAUAGCCCAGAGAAAUUUGGAUUAAUACCUCAUAGUAUAUGGUCUUCACCUGAAGGUUAUAUUAAAGGUUACGGUACAAGAUGAGUAUGCGUUCUAUUAGCUAGAUGGUAAGGUAACGGCUUACCAUGGCGACGAUAGAUAGGGGCCCUGAGAGGGGGAUCCCCCACACUGGUACUGAGACACGGACCAGACUCCUACGGGAGGCAGCAGUGAGGAAUAUUGGACAAUGGGCGAGAGCCUGAUCCAGCCAUGCCGCGUGCAGGAUGACUGCCCUAUGGGUUGUAAACUGCUUUUAUACAGGAAGAAACACUCCCUCGUGAGGGAGCUUGACGGUACUGUAAGAAUAAGGAUCGGCUAACUCCGUGCCAGCAGCCGCGGUAAUACGGAGGAUCCAAGCGUUAUCCGGAAUCAUUGGGUUUAAAGGGUCCGUAGGUGGAUAAUUAAGUCAGAGGUGAAAUCCUGCAGCUCAACUGUAGAAUUGCCUUUGAUACUGGUUAUCUUGAGUUAUUAUGAAGUAGUUAGAAUAUGUAGUGUAGCGGUGAAAUGCAUAGAUAUUACAUAGAAUACCAAUUGCGAAGGCAGAUUACUAAUAAUUAACUGACACUGAUGGACGAAAGCGUGGGGAGCGAACAGGAUUAGAUACCCUGGUAGUCCACGCCGUAAACGAUGGUUACUAGUUGUUCGAACUUCGGUUUGAGUGACUAAGCGAAAGUGAUAAGUAACCCACCUGGGGAGUACGUUCGCAAGAAUGAAACUCAAAGGAAUUGACGGGGGCCCGCACAAGCGGUGGAGCAUGUGGUUUAAUUCGAUGAUACGCGAGGAACCUUACCAGGGCUUAAAUGUAGAUUGACAGGUUUAGAGAUAGACUUU
rnacentral:rRNA from 1 species